CAUGCAGUCGAGCGGCAGCGGGAGGAAGCUUGCUUCCUCGCCGGCGAGCGGCGGACGGGUGAGUAAUGUCUGGGGAUCUGCCCGAUGGAGGGGGAUAACCACUGGAAACGGUGGCUAAUACCGCAUAACGUCGCAAGACCAAAGUGGGGGACCUUCGGGCCUCACACCAUCGGAUGAACCCAGAUGGGAUUAGCUAGUAGGUGGGGUAAUGGCUCACCUAGGCGACGAUCCCUAGCUGGUCUGAGAGGAUGACCAGCCACACUGGAACUGAGACACGGUCCAGACUCCUACGGGAGGCAGCAGUGGGGAAUAUUGCACAAUGGGCGCAAGCCUGAUGCAGCCAUGCCGCGUGUGUGAAGAAGGCCUUCGGGUUGUAAAGCACUUUCAGCGAGGAGGAAGGUGGUGAGCUUAAUACGCUCAUCAAUUGACGUUACUCGCAGAAGAAGCACCGGCUAACUCCGUGCCAGCAGCCGCGGUAAUACGGAGGGUGCAAGCGUUAAUCGGAAUUACUGGGCGUAAAGCGCACGCAGGCGGUUUGUUAAGUCAGAUGUGAAAUCCCCGAGCUUAACUUGGGAACUGCAUUUGAAACUGGCAAGCUAGAGUCUCGUAGAGGGGGGUAGAAUUCCAGGUGUAGCGGUGAAAAUGCGUAGAGAUCUGGAGGAAUACCGGUGGCGAAGGCGGCCCCCUGGACGAAAACUGACGCUCAGGUGCGAAAGCGUGUGGAGCAAACAGGAUUAGAUACCCUGGUAGUCCACGCCGUAAACGAUGUCGAUUUGG
rnacentral:rRNA from 1 species